rnacentral:rRNA from 1 species
UGGGGAAUAUUGGACAAUGGGCGCAAGCCUGAUCCAGCCAUGCCGCGUGAGUGAUGAAGGCUCUAGGGUUGUAAAGUUCUUUCACCGGUGAAGAUAAUGACGGUAACCGGAGAAGAAGCCCCGGCUAACUUCGUGCCAGCAGCCGCGGUAAUACGAAGGGGGCUAGCGUUGUUCGGAUUUACUGGGCGUAAAGCGCACGUAGGCGGACUAUUAAGUCAGGGGUGAAAUCCCGGGGCUCAACCCCGGAACUGCCUUUGAUACUGGUAGUCUUGAGUUCGAGAGAGGUGAGUGGAAUUCCGAGUGUAGAGGUGAAAUUCGUAGAUAUUCGGAGGAACACCAGUGGCGAAGGCGGCUCACUGGCUCGAUACUGACGCUGAGGUGCGAAAGCGGGGGGAGCAAACAGG